UACAGAGGGGGCAAGCGUUGUUCGGAAUUACUGGGCGUAAAGGGCGCGUAGGCGGCCUGUUAAGUCGAACGUGAAAUCCCCGGGCUCAACCCGGGAACUGCGUCCGAUACUGGCAGGCUUGAAUCCGGGAGAGGGAUGCGGAAUUCCAGGUGUAGCGGUGAAAUGCGUAGAUAUCUGGAGGAACACCGGUGGCGAAGGCGGCUGACUGGGCCGACCCUGACGCUGAGGCGCGAAGGCGUGGGGAGCGAACGGG
rnacentral:rRNA from 1 species